rnacentral:rRNA from 1 species
GACGAACGCUGGCGGCGUGCCUAAUACAUGCAAGUUGAGCGCUGAAGGUUGGUACUUGUACCGACUGGAUGAGCAGCGAACGGGUGAGUAACGCGUGGGGAAUCUGCCUUUGAGCGGGGGACAACAUUUGGAAACGAAUGCUAAUACCGCAUAAAAACUUUAAACACAAGUUUUAAGUUUGAAAGAUGCAAUUGCAUCACUCAAAGAUGAUCCCGCGUUGUAUUAGCUAGUUGGUGAGGUAAAGGCUCACCAAGGCGAUGAUACAUAGCCGACCUGAGAGGGUGAUCGGCCACAUUGGGACUGAGACACGGCCCAAACGCCUACGGGAGGCAGCAGUAGGGAAUCUUCGGCAAUGGACGAAAGUCUGACCGAGCAACGCCGCGGGAGUGAAGAAGGUUUUCGGAUCGUAAAACUCGGUUGGUAGAGAAGAACGUUGGUGAGAGUGGAAAGCUCAUCAAGUGACGGUAACUACCCAGAAAGGGACGGCUAACUACGUG